AUGGCUCUGCUCGUCGUGCUUUCCCUCGUCGCCUUUUUCUGCUCCAACCGACGGCGAGCGGCGCAGAGCUCGUCGCGGCAGGGCGUGGUCGACAUCGAGCUCGGGGACGGCAGGUGCGCCGCCAUCGCCGCGGGGCUCGACGAUGCCGUCCUGGCCGCGUGCCCGACGACGGUGUACUCCACGUCGAUCCAGCAUCAUCUGGCGGCGGCUACCGGUGAGCGGACGGCAAAGGAGGAGGAGCGCGGGUGCGCGGUGUGCCUGGCGGAGUACGCAGACGGCGACGAGCUGCGGGUGCUCCCCGGCUGCGCGCACGCGUUCCAUCGGCGGUGCGUCGACCAGUGGCUUCGGCAGCGGUCCAGCUGCCCGCUGUGCCGCACGUCGCCUCAGAGCACCACCAGUGCAUGCUAA
rnacentral:rRNA from 1 species